UGACUCCCAUGCCGGGCAUCCAUGAUGUAAGGUCCCUUGCAGAACCUUAAGUCUCAUCUCUAAGAAUCCUUGUGUUCCCCCUUUUCCCACCACCCUUGCACCUUCGCAGCCUUACCUGCUUUGAGAACACUUCAUUUGUUCUGCUUUUGUUUGGUAAACAUACUCAAGGUUGCCAUACACCAUUGGUUAGGCUGUACAUUGCAUAAAGGCAUGACAUCUGAAGAUAUCAAGUAGGCAUGGUAUACAUAUUAGUGGGUGUAUUUCAGUAGUUCACCAGCAGAUGGCAGUAAAGUAUUCUGUACGUAUAUCAUAAUUUCCCAACAGAAGCCGUCUUGAGGAAAGAGACCCUUUUUCUAAUCUGACUUUUUGAAGAGCUAAACUGAGAACUCAGUUCCUCAGUGUCAGUGCAGUUGAAGUUGUGAUGUUGAUGUAAUCUUAAAAUGCUAGUGGAAGCCGGACAUGGUGGCACACCCCUGUAAUUCCAGCAUUUGGGAGGCUGAGGCAGGAGGAUUGCCAGGAGUUCAAGGCCAGCCUGAACUACAUAGUGAGACCCUGUCUCAAAAAAAAAAAAUGCCAGUGGAAUAGACUUCCAAAUCCUGCACCAUUACUUCAUCAGCCAUGGGCCAGGCCUAGGUUGCAAGGGAUAGAAAUCCAACACAAAGUGGUGACUUAAGGAGGAAAAAAGAAUUUAUCAGGAGCCUGAUGUGGUGGUGCACACCUGUGAUCCCACAAAGGGAUCAGAAGGCUGAGGCAGGAGGAUCUUGGAGAGUUUGAGGCCAGCCUGAACUACAAAGCCUGAACUACCCUGCCUCAAAAAACCAAAACAACAACAAAAAAAGGAACUUAUCGUUUACGUUACAGAUCCAGGGCUUAGUGUAAUGUCAGCAGAAAUGUGUCUUCUCUUUGGCUUCCUUCUGAAGCAGGCUUUUCUCACCUGCUGGAAAAAAAGUACCUCCAGCUUCCAUUCACUCCACCAACCCAUUCAGAAGGAAGAAAACACCUUUCUUGAGGUUUUUCUCUGAUUGGACUACUGGGUCGCAUGCCCAUCUCUGAACCAAUCAUUGUACUCAGAGGAAAGGAAGCUGUGAUUGGCCAGACCUUGUCACAUACCCACCCCUAGAACCAGGAGGUGGGACUACCCCCAAGGGCUCUGAGAGUGGGAGUGGGGACCCCCAGUUGAAAGUUCAGGCAUUGGCUGGCAGUGGUGGUGUACACUUGUGAUCCUAGCACUCAGAAGGCUGAAGCAGGAGGAUCGCCAUGAGUUCAAGGUCAGCCUGGACUACAUAGUGAGUUCAAGGCCAGCCUGAACUAUGUAGCAAGAUCCUGUCUCAAAAAAUAAAAUAAAAAGAACAGGCAUUAAGAGGAGAGGGGGACUAGAUUAUAAGCAAGGACAAACUCCAGAGUCUUCAGAUCCUGGAAUGUUGGAAGCUUAGAGAACAACUUUGAGCAGGGCGCAAUGGUAUAUGCCUGUCAUCCAAGCUACUUGGGAGGCUGAGGCAGAAGGAUUGUGAGGUCAAGGCCAGCCUGGACAAUGUAGUAAGACUAUCUCAAAAUUUAAAAAUGAAAAGUGCUCAGGAUGUAGCUCAGCACUCCCUGGAUUCAAUCCCCCAUCCUGCAAAACCAACCAACAAACAAUGCAGAUCUUAAAAACUGGAAAUGUGUUAGGCUCAGAAUCAGCAACUCCUAGAACUAGCCUGAGGUGGAAGGAGCCUUACAUCCCAUUUAUCUAGUCUCUUUUCCUGCCCUCUCCAUUUUAUUAGGUGGAACCAUAUGACAUCACUACUCUGUGGGUCAAAAACGGUCAUAUAUUGUUGAGCAUGGAGGCACAUAUCUGUAAUCCCAGCAUAACAGGGGCUGAGGCAGGAAGACCAUGAGUCUGAGACCACCCUCGGCUAUUUAGACUUGUCUCAAAAACAAAAGUCCACGGGCAAUUUUAUAGGACUUAACCUAAUAACAAAUGUUGUGAGGUGCAACUUUGUGUUGGAGGUUUCUGUGCUUCCUACAUGAGACACUAUGGCAGUGGACACAAUGUGCUACCAUAUAUAUCCCCCCAAUGGCUUACCAGAGAGUGGAAGACCAUCUCCUCAGCCUUCCUCCUGAGCUCAGAGUCUCACUUUCCCAUCACACACCAUGUUCUGUAUACAUGUGUCAAGCACCUGCCAGAGGCCCGGCACAGUGCUGGACUCUCACCCUGGUAUUUGUCCCUGUCUGCCUCUGCCUCUCUCUGCUCCGAAUGUCUGCUUGCCAGGCCUCCCAGUCCUCCUUGUUUGCCAGCCCCCUGUGCUCACAUCGUCUGCGGGCCAGCUUCCCCCUAAAUGCCAACCCCACCCCCACAAUCUUGUCUCUCUGCCCCCUCCCCUGC
rnacentral:lncRNA from 1 species